ACCUGAACCCAGGCACAUGUAUGUACACACACAUGUACUUCCCUCUAGAGUGGCUACUUGGGGACAGGGAAGUCUACUGAAAAGGAGAGGCAAAGAAAGACUGUCCUAAGCACAAGAGAAUGUCCAUUAUUUGUAGACAGAGGCUACCCAUCCUUGCCCCCUGCCAGUGUCGUGAGAAUAAAGCAAGCUGCCUUUUGAGGGUG
rnacentral:lncRNA from 1 species